rnacentral:rRNA from 1 species
UACGGGGGGUGCAAGCGUUGUUCGGAAUCAUUGGGCGUAAAGAGCGUGUAGGCGGCUUGAUAAGUCGGAUGUGAAAGCCCUGGGCUCAACCCGGGAAGUGCAUUUGAAACUGUCAGGCUCGAGUAGGGGAGAGGGAAGUGGAAUUCCUGGUGUAGAGGUGAAAUUCGUAGAUAUCAGGAGGAACACCGGUGGCGAAGGCGACUUCCUGGCCCUAUACUGACGCUGAGACGCGAGAGCGUGGGUAGCAAACAGG